rnacentral:rRNA from 1 species
UUCAACAGGGGUGAAAUCUGUAUACACCAUGAAUUUUUUGAUUAAAGUACCUUUUAGGUGGUCAAAUGACUAGGAUUAGAUACCCUAUUAGUCCACUCUUAAUUAACCUGGGUAGUAGUAUUGAAACCUAAAGAAUUUGGCGGUUUCUAAACCUACUAGAGGAACCUGCCCCAUAAACGACAAUCCACGAAAAAAUUCACCCGGGCUAGUUAUGCAGCUUAUAUACCGUCGUUCAGAGGACUAAAUAAAUAGAUCCUCUUAAAAGCUUAGGCUAAUAAAUCAGAUCAAGGUGUAGCUUAUGCCCGGGAGAGGGUGGGUUACAAUGAAAAUUCAUACGGAACUUCUAUUUUAUGAUAGAAAAGAAGGUGGAUUUAGAAGUAAGACUUAAUAUACUGAAAAAGGCUCUCAGAAAUGUACAC